rnacentral:rRNA from 1 species
AACGAACGCUGGCGGCAUGCCUAACACAUGCAAGUCGAACGAGACCUUCGGGUCUAGUGGCGCACGGGUGCGUAACGCGUGGGAACCUGCCCUUAGGUUCGGAAUAACUCCCCGAAAGGGGUGCUAAUAACGGAUAAUGUCUUCGGACCAAAGAUUUAUCGCCUUUGGAUGGGCCCGCGUUGGAUUAGCUAGUUGGUAGGGUAAAAGCCUACCAAGGCGACGAUCCAUAGCUGGUCUGAGAGGAUGAUCAGCCACACUGGGACUGAGACACGGCCCAGACUCCUACGGGAGGCAGCAGUGGGGAAUAUUGGACAAUGGGCGAAAGCCUGAUCCAGCAAUGCCGCGUGAGUGAUGAAGGCCUUAGGGUUGUAAAGCUCUUUUACCCGGGAUGAUAAUGACAGUACCGGGAGAAUAAGCACCGGCUAACUCCGUG